rnacentral:rRNA from 1 species
GACGAACGCUGGCGGCGUGCCUAAUACAUGCAAGUAGGACGCAGUUGCGAACGGGUGAGUAACGCGUAGGUAACUGCCUAUUAGAGGGGGCUAACUAUUGGAAACGAUAGCUAAUACCGCAUACUAGUAGAUGGACCUGCGUUGUAUUAGCUAGUAGGUAGGGUAAUGGCCUACCUAGGCAACGAUACAUAGCCGACCGUGGAGGGUGAACGGGCAACAUGGGACUGGGACACGGCCCAGACUCCUACGGGAGGCAGCAGUAGGGAAACUUCGGCAAUGGGGGGAAACCUGACCGAGCAACGCCGCGUGAUUGAAGAAGGUUUUCGGGUCGGAAAGCUCUGUUGUUCAGGAAGCGGUACUUAACCAGAAAGGGACGGCUAACUACGUGCCAGCAGCCGCGGUAAUUC